CGUCAGCAGAUAGCAGUUACGCAGAUUCGUCCUUUUCGGGACGAGCCACAGAUGAGAUUCGACGAUAGACUACCCCUUUUUUAAUAGUAACCUAAAGAACAGAGAUUCCCCCGCCACUAAAAGUCCCGAAAAGCCUGUGCAGUAAAUCGAAACCCUUGGCCGGGUUUUUUGUGUGGAUCGAAAAAAGAUAUUGAACCCUGGAACGUCUGUAUCCUGCUCGCCCUCCCUAUGGUCCCGCAGCGGUGUGCAGACUGGCGAGCUACCCCAUCAGAGCGAUCCUAUUGGACCACGAACAAUAAGGCAAAUUCUAAUUGUUUCUGCAGCAGUGUAGGGACAAGAGACUGAAUUAUUUAGAUAUUGUAAAUAGGCUGAUCUAAUAUUUUUACUGUGUUUUAUUAGUGUAAUUGAAAUGUGUUAUUUAGGGAUGUUUUAAGUAUUCAGAGGUAUUUUGAAACCUGGUUAAGUUUUAUUUGAAAGGGUUGACUCUUUUGGUGACCUAAAAUAAGAGUGUAAAUAAGAAAGGUAUUUGCGAUCAUUUUAAUCUUUUCCACAUUUUAUUUUAAAUCAAUUUAGGUAUAAUUGUUCCGUUUAUCAUUUUUACUACUUAAAUAAAUAAAACCAAAAGGUAAGAGAGAAAAAGAACAGCUUUGAAAAUUCUCUUACCUUUGAAAUAUA